rnacentral:lncRNA from 1 species
CCCAUUUCCGGGCCUCCAGCUGAGCAGGAGGGAGAAGGAUCCUCAGGAGCGAGUGUCUCAAGCCUGGAGAGAGGUCGGCACCGGAGGGCUGGGGAACCCAAACCUCAGAGUGAAUGGCCAGUGUUCCUUCUCUAGAAUGCAGUGCUCCCUUGUCAGUGAGAAGCGAGUCUGCCGGUGGGUACAACACCAGAUGACAUUUCCACCCCCAUUGACGACAGCCCUCACCUAGCUAUCAAGGUACAAAAGUAAACAUGGAGCGUGGGGACACCAUAUGUCCCUGACUCACAGAGCUUGCAGGAAUCACCAUCAUUCUACGUGGCAUCUGCUUUCCUGGGCCGAGGUGGGAGACAGUGUUUGACUUCCUUCACUCUUACCACGGGCCCACGUGGGGCUGGCCACUGUCUACAUUCAAGGGUUGUGAACUGAAUUGAGGGGUUGUAUUCUUCAUCCAUUUUCUCCAUUGAACUGUCUUGAAUUUUCCCCUAAGUGGAAAAUGAAGCAGACCCUUGUUGAAUUUAAAGGAGAUCUGACUGACAUUGGGACGUGGCAUCCAAUAAGAUGCCUGUUUCUUCCGUCUGCUCCAGGGUGCGCCAACAGGAGACGGAAAGCUAAAGGGCACCAGCUGAUGGUUGGGGAUGGACAGAAACGGUCCAGAGAAAAACAGAGGAGUGCUUACUUCCAGUGCAUACUUCGUUUCCAAACCCCGAUUGCGCUGGCCCCUGCCGUGAAGAACACAGGAUCUUCUCGACUUCCUUUAUCUUUCGGUUUUUGUUUCCGUAAUCAAGUCUCUCGAGCUUUUCUUCUAAAGCAAAAAUUCCAACUCCAGUUCAAGAAUGUUUCGAGGCCGGGCGCAGUAGCUCACACCUGUAAUCCCAGCACUUUAGGAGGCCCAGGUGGGUGAAUGACUUGAGGUCAGGAGUUUGAAACCAGCCUGGCCAACAUGGUGAAACCCCAUCUCCACUAAAAAUGCAAAAAUUAGCCUUGUUUGGUGGCACUUGCCUGUAAUCCCAGCGACUUGGGAGGCUGAGGCAGAAGAAUCGAUUGAACCCAGGAGAUGUAGGUUGUGAGUGGAGAUCGUGCCACUGCACUCCAGCCUGGGCCACAGGGCACGGAAAAAAGAAAAAAAAAAAAAAA